rnacentral:rRNA from 1 species
UCGGGAAUCUUGCGCAAUGGGCGAAAGCCUGACGCAGCAACACCGUGUGAGCGACGAAGGCCUUCGGGUCGUAAAGCUCUGUUGUUGGGGACGAAGGGUUAGGGGUUAAUAGCCCCGAGCCUGACGGUACCCUUCGAGGAAGCCCCGGCUAACUACGUGCCAGCAGCCGCGGUAAUACGUAGGGGGCGAGCGUUGUCCGGAAUUAUUGGGCGUAAAGAGCGUGUAGGCGGUUCGGUAAGUCUGCCGUGAAAACCCAGGGCUCAACCCUGGGCGUGCGGUGGAUACUGCCGGGCUAGAGGGUGGUAGAGGCGAGUGGAAUUCCCGGUGUAGCGGUGAAAUGCGCAGAUAUCGGGAGGAACACCAGUAGCGAAGGCGGCUCGCUGGGCCAUACCUGACGCUGAGACGCGAAAGCGUGGGGAGCAAACAGG